UACGUAGGGAGCAAGCGUUGUCCGGAAUCAUUGGGCGUAAAGCGCGCGUAGGUGGCUUCAUAAGUCCGUUGUGAAAGUCAAAGGCUCAACCUUUGAAAGCCGAUGGAUACUGUGGAGCUAGAGUACGGAAGAGGCGAGUGGAAUUCCUGGUGUAGCGGUGGAAUGCGCAGAUAUCAGGAGGAACACCAAUAGCGAAGGCAGCUCGCUGGGACGUACUGACACUGAGGCGCGAAAGCGUGGGGAGCGAACAGG
rnacentral:rRNA from 1 species